UACGUAGGGAGCAAGCGUUGUCCGGAAUCAUUGGGCGUAAAGCGCGCGUAGGUGGCUUCGUAAGUCCGUUGUGAAAGUCAAAGGCUCAACCUUUGAAAGCCGAUGGAUACUGCGGAGCUAGAGUACGGAAGAGGCGAGUGGAAUUCCUGGUGUAGCGGUGAAAUGCGCAGAUAUCAGGAGGAACACCAAUUGCGAAAGCAGCUCUCUGGGACGGUACUGACGCUGAGACGCGAAAGCGUGGGGAGCGAACAGG
rnacentral:rRNA from 1 species